UAGUAUUGUAAACACUGAAGCCAUUAGUUGGUUGUGUUACAGACUCUGCUGCAUUUAAUGGAAUGCAAAAGAGUUUCCUCUUAGAAAAAAAAGUUUUGCUUAUGAGGAUAUGUGGAGGGAAGAAAAACUUCCAGAAGCCAGUGGUGUUAGCAGGAGAGCCCAAUUUGGUCAUUAUCGUUAAGGCUGCCACCUGUAACCACUGACUGAAAACAAAAGAGGCUUUGUCCACUCUUAAAAUGUCCCUUGAUUGCUGCUUCAACGUUGGUACUUAAGAGGAGACGCUUGUGAUGCUGUCAGUUCUUGGACUGUGUAAAAUGAUUUUAUAUGGAUCUUCCAUCAAAAGGUUAAAAGAAGGUAGUCAUCAAGAGAAGCAAGCAAAACAGAAAGGUGUGUGACUUCUAUCAGAAAACUCGGAGCCCAUUUCAAGUUACUGCAUCCUCAAGAGAAAGAAAAUGCUGGCUUCUGACUCGUACCUACGUGGACCAACUGCAACCACAGGCUGUGCCGGUGCUCCUGAAACCAGACCGAGUUCUGUGCCGUGCUGCUGCAUCUCCUCCCACACCUGCCAUCCUCUGGGCAGUGCUGAAGCAGGGUGAGCUGCAGAGAAGAGUCUUAUUGAAAAUAUAAAAUAAAUAUCUAAUAAUAGGGCAAUUUAAUUGAGCAAUUCCAAAUGGCUGAAGCAGAUUUAUAUCAGCACAUUGAUUAGUUGCUGGAGACAUGCAGAAUCCUGAUGGGCCCUGGCCAGAGGAGCUCUCUGCUUGAUGUAAAACUCCUCUUGAGUUUUACACAGAUUCCUUUUAGUGCUCACAUUUCCUCUCAAAGAAAAUAUUCAGGUAUCAAAAGUCUGAGGGCCAUGGCCUAUCCGGAAUCUAUAUAGUAUUUGAGAUCUAUCUAGGAAAUUCUGUUUUAAGGAGGGCACAGAAAAAAGGAGCACAAGCAGAGGUGAGAGAGAGUGAAACUGCACUUCCCUCUUUCGAUUUUCCUUGUGAUGUCCAGAUUCUAAGAAGACAAAGGUUAUCAGGCUAAACCUAAAUAGUAACAAGAGAUGAAAAGUGUGAAUCUCAGUGCAGAUCUUUUAGAGCCCUCAGUUUUCUCUUUAUAGGGAUGUACUGGUGUGGAAACAGUAAGAAUAGCAAUAGAUGACUACAGGUUGUUAUUUGCAAAGAUUGGGGCAUACAUUUGGAAAAGAUACGGUUUUAGUAGUCAGAAUAAUUAUGGGAUCUGCAGGUAAAGGCCACUGUACUGAAAUUAUUUCCAGUCAAGACUGAAAACUGAAAGAAGAAAAUGCAGGGCAGCCCUCAGAUAC